GAUCUCCUGCCAUGAAACACAUAUGCCGGCGGUUGGUUGAUAGUAAAGUACAACAAAUAGCGAGAUUAAAAGCAAAUACAUACAUUCAAAACGUACCAGGUAGUCCCACGGUUUCUCCGACCUUGUUCCACGCUUUAUCUUUAUAGCUCCGGUUUCGGACGAUGACGAGCGGAGCUGCUCAACGCUGAUUGGCUGACGCAACUAUGACUCACGCGUCUUUGCUGCCGGAGUUGGGAAAUUUGAACUCGCGCGUCGAGGAGCUGCGUCUGUUCGCUCAGUUCGCCCCGCGACAAACCCUCUGUUCGUGCUGCUUCAAACGCGUCUGACGCGCUGCUCGCUGGGAAAUACGCAGCGACGCAGCUUCGACGCAGCUUUGCAUUGAUUUAACAUGUAAUCUCGACGCGCGUCAAAAUUUUGACGCGUCCGGUGUGAACACACCAUAAGAGCCACGCCGUCUAGCAAUAACUUAUACCUUCUUGAAAGUUAUAUUUUGAAAUAUGUAUGUAAUAGUAAUCUUAUAUUUUCAUAUGGGAUUAAAUGUGGAGGUUUUAUUAUGAAAAGCAACCAAGUCAGUUAUUUACCGAGAUAUAAGUGAUAUUUAACUGCCUAUAUAUUAUUUGUAGAACCCACUAAACUCUUUUCAAUGUAUUUAUAUUUUCAUUUACUUACUGAUUAGACAACAACAAAGAUUGAGUUAUUCAUAUUUAUUGUGCCGUUAAAGGUUGAUUUAAAAAUGUUCUUAUAGAAAAAUUACUUAAUAAAAAAAUCUAAUAUCUUC